rnacentral:misc_RNA from 1 species
AUGGACUUCAAAACUGAAUCUGUAUUUGGAUGAAGUGCAAGCCACAGAUCCUGCUGAGGGCUCCCACCAGGAACAAGCACUACAUAAUCCUUAUGCACUGGAACUCCAUUGUGAUCAUUUGCCCAGGCAACCACAUCAGCUUGAUCCUCGGCAGUUUGAUUAUUGAGGAAGAUGCUGAAUACUCUUUGAUUAAUCUUGGUUAUAUUUGAAGCAACUUCACAAAAAUGGAGCCUAACCAAAUAACUGAAACCAGAGUCGACGCUAAAAAUCCAAGUCAAAUUGUAAUUCACAUUGAUGUUAGCGCUUGGCCCCAUUGAUCUAGCGGUAGAAUAGACAUUAAGAGGUGCAAUAUAUGGAGGCACAGGGCUUUCAAUUGUCAUGUUUGGAUCAGCAGUCUCGGCAACACCAAACCCUGCUCCAUAAAGAUAUGCCUGGUCAUCAGACCAAGACCUAAGCAUACCUGUAUCUCCUGACGGCGAGAUGUCAUUCCCGCCCACAUUUAACCGAUAAACAUUCUCAAGCGCAGUACUGUUAUCUAUAGUAAAUGGAGCGGAAUUACCCACUAUCAUUAAAGUUCCAUCAGUAUUACUAUAAAUAUCAGGCAUCGACACUAUCUCAAUCCCAUUAACAAAUGCAUAAUACUUUGAAGAAUUUGAAGAUGGGCUGAAAGUUACGUUCAAUGUUCCACCAUCUACAUUGAUAGAGUACUCCUUCACAAUAAAAGCAAAAUUCAAAGCCUCUGUUGUUUGAGCAACACUGAAGUUCUUAAGAAGGGUAUAAGACGCAGCUGUGACGGCAAAGAGAGAAUCAGAUGCAUUAAGCCCAUUGUACGAAGCAGGAUAGAAGUACAGGCGAACGAAUUUACGACCAGCAGCCAAGGGGAAACUAUAGGUAAAAUCAGAGUGAAAAACACGAGCAGUCAUGAAAGGGACUUGAGGGACUGCAGGAUCUUGGGUGGCAGCAGGGGAUGUGGACGAAUUCCCUGUCGAUACCAAGAAUUUAGAACCUUUAUCAGCAGUCCAUUUCUGACCAUCGGUAUCGGUGACAUCCGAAGUUGCCCCACAAUCUAGGAGGAUUUUAUCGGUUGGCAAAUAAUUUUGGGCAAUGGCAACAAGAAUUACAGAAGCCAAACAAAGUAAAAGGAGAGGAAAAGCAGGAAAACACCUACCCAUUCUCCCUAUGGACUCCAAUUUGACAAUGGAAGCAGAAUUAACGAUUUAUAUGAAGCGGAAAAUAGAGAAACCCUUUAGCCAAAUCCAAAUCAGAACCCCAAAAAGAUGAAAUACUUAGACGAAGC